UGGGGAAUUUUGGACAAUGGGCGAAAGCCUGAUCCAGCAAUGCCGCGUGUGUGGAGAAGGCCUUCGGGUUGUAAAGCACUUUUGUCCGGAAAGAAAUGGCUCUGGUUAAUACCUGGGGUCGAUGACGGUACCGGAAGAAUAAGGACCGGCUAACUACGUGCCAGCAGCCGCGGUAAUACGUAGGGUCCAAGCGUUAAUCGGAAUUACUGGGCGUAAAGCGUGCGCAGGCGGUUGUGCAAGACCGAUGUGAAAUCCCCGAGCUUAACUUGGGAAUUGCAUUGGUGACUGCACGGCUAGAGUGUGUCAGAGGGGGGUAGAAUUCCACGUGUAGCAGUGAAAUGCGUAGAGAUGUGGAGGAAUACCGAUGGCGAAGGCAGCCCCCUGGGAUAACACUGACGCUCAUGCACGAAAGCGUGGGGAGCAAACAGGAUUAGAUACCCUGGUAGUCCACGCCCUAAACGAUGUCAACUAGUUGUUGGGGAUUCAUUUCCUUAGUAACGUAGCUAACGCGUGAAGUUGACCGCCUGGGGAGUACGGUCGCAAGAUUAAAAGCUC
rnacentral:rRNA from 1 species